UCGCCGCCAGCUUUGCCGCCGCUCAAAUUAUCGCAGAAAACAAACGUCGCUAAGAAAUUAAUCAGGAAUUCUCCAGCACGGAAAUCAAUCCACCUCCACGACAGAUCUCGUACAGGAGGCUCAAGCAAACAAAAAAGGAAAAAUUUAAGCAAAACCGCAGAGUACUUUGGAGAGCUUCAGCGACGAAUCGAGGAACCUGAU
rnacentral:lncRNA from 1 species